AGGCCGGAGGCAGAGUGACAGAGUCUAGCAGAUUCGCAGAGCCGCUGUCUGCGCCGCAGAGACAGGGAGAGUGAGAGUUGGAAAGACCGUGUGCCCGCCACCGUUUCCACAGUCCAUACCUGAUACCCAGCCAGUCUCCGGCACCGUCACUGUCUCCGCUCCACCACUGGGCCACCGAUCUUGCCUCUUGGAUAGUUGGAUGCUGUUGGAUCUCGUCAAUGCACUGUAAAUUUCGUUCUGCAGAUGCAAUGGAAGGGGCAGGGUUUCCAUGGUAGCCAGAGAAUUGUGGAACAUAACCUGGGAAUUCUUCUGGUGAGAGUUUUUUUAUGGGUUUAACUCCCUGUAGCAUCAUCUUUGACUAGGAUUAUUUCACUUCUAUGAUUUCUUGGCUGUUCUUCUUGUUGUAGCUUAAUUGUUUUCUAUG